GCCAGUGACGCAACGAGAUCAGCAGAUUUACUUGGAUGAGGAAGAUGAUGAAGAAGAAGAAAUUGUUUUCAAACCUCUAGUUACUGAGAAGAGGAAUGGGGCUUCUGACCAAACCUAUGUUCCUAAUGGAGGCUUGAGGAAUCCUGAUCAAGUUCCUAACGGAGGCUUCAGGAAACCUGAUCAAGUUGCUACGAUGAGAGAAGACUUAAAAUCUCUGAGUGUUUCAGAUGCAGCUUUUCAAGGAAA
rnacentral:lncRNA from 1 species